rnacentral:rRNA from 1 species
GGCUCAGGAUGAACGCUAGCGGCAGGCUUAACACAUGCAAGUCGAGGGGCAGCGAGGGGUAGCAAUACCCGUCGGGCGACCGGCGGAAGGGUGCGUAACACGUGAGCAACCUGCCCGUCACAGGGGGAUAAUCGCUGGAAACGGCGUCUAAUACCCCAUAACAUGUUUCGUCACAUGGCGAGGCAUUGAAAACUCCGGUGGUGACGGAUGGGCUCGCGGGGCAUUAGGUAGACGGCGGGGUAACGGCCCACCGUGCCGACGAUGUCUAGGGGUUCUGAGAGGAAGAUCCCCCACACUGGGACUGAGACACGGCCCAGACUCCUACGGGAGGCAGCAGUGAGGAAUAUUGGACAAUGGAAGGAAUUCUGAUCCAGCCAUGCCGCGUGCGGGACUAAGGCCCUAGUGGGUACGUAAACCGUCUUUUGUUGGGGAGCAAUAAGGUCUACGAGUAGACCGAUGAGAGUACCUGGCGAAUAAGCAUCGGCUAACUCCGUGCC